rnacentral:pre_miRNA from 1 species
AGUACCAAAGUGCUCAUAGUGCAGGUAGUUUGGGCAUUACUCUACUGCAGUGCGGGCACUUUUAGUACU